rnacentral:rRNA from 1 species
CCUACGGGAGGCAGCAGUGAGGAAUAUUGGUCAAUGGCCGUAAGGCUGAACCAGCCAAGUCGCGUGAAGGACGAAGGUUCCAAGGAUUGUAAACUUCUUUUAUCAAGGGAUAAAAGUAGCCACGAGAGCCUAAUCGAGGGUACCCUAAGAAUAAGCAUCGGCUAACUCCGUGCCAGCAGCCGCGGUAAUACGGAGGAUGCGAGCGUUAUCCGGAUUUAUUGGGUUUAAAGGGUGCGUAGGUGGUUUUUUAAGUCAGCGGUGAAAGGUAGUGGCUCAACCAUCGGUGUGCCGUUGAAACUGGCAGUCUUGAGAUGUCGAGAGGUAUGCGGAAUGCGUGGUGUAGCGGUGAAAUGCUUAGAUAUUGCGCAGAACUCCGAUUGCGAAGGCAGCAUACUGGCGGCUAUCUGACACUGAGGCACGAAAGCGUGGGGAUCGAACAGGAUUAGAUACCCUUGUAGUC